rnacentral:tRNA from 1 species
CGGGGCGUAGCGCAGCUUGGUAGCGCACCUGCUUUGGGAGCAGGGGGUCGCAGGUUCAAAUCCUGUCGCCCCGAC